rnacentral:tRNA from 1 species
GAGUUUAUAGUUUUAUACUAAAAUGCCGAGGUGUGGAUUCGGAGAAGAGAGUUUCUAGACUUU